GGGGCGUUAGCUCAGUCGGUUAGAGCAGCGGACUCAUAAUCCGUCGGUCUUGCUCCC
rnacentral:tRNA from 1 species